rnacentral:rRNA from 14 species
GAGGCGAACGAGGGGAACUGAAACAUCUAAGUACCCUUAGGAAAAGAAAUCAAUUGAGAUUCCCCUAGUAGCGGCGAGCGAACGGGGAACAGCCCUUAAGCUGUAUUGAAUGUAGUGGAAUCCUUUGGGAAGAGGAGCGAUACAAGGUGAUAGCCCUGUACACGACGCAAUCUUUACAGUGAAAUCGAGUAGGUCGGGACACGUGUUAUCUUGACUGAAUAUGGGGGGACCAUCCUCCAAGGCUAAAUACUCCUAACUGACCGAUAGUGAACCAGUACCGUGAGGGAAAGGCGAAAAGAACCC